CAGCCACACUGGGACUGAGACACGGCCCAGACUCCUACGGGAGGCAGCAGUGGGGAAUUUUGGACAAUGGGGGAAACCCUGAUCCAGCCAUGCCGCGUGAGUGAAGAAGGCCUUCGGGUUGUAAAGCUCUUUCAGCCGGAACGAAACGGUCACGGCUAAUACCUGUGACUACUGACGGUACCGGAAGAAGAAGCACCGGCUAACUACGUGCCAGCAGCCGCGGUAAUACGUAGGGUGCGAGCGUUAAUCGGAAUUACUGGGCGUAAAGCGUGCGCAGGCGGUUUUGUAAGUCAGAUGUGAAAUCCCCGGGCUUAACCUGGGAACUGCGUUUGAAACUACAA
rnacentral:rRNA from 1 species